CUGCGAUAAGCGCCGGUAAGGUGAUAUGAACCGUUAUAACCGGCGAUACCCGAAUGGGGAAACCCAGUGUGACUCGUCACACUAUCAUUAACUGAAUCCAUAGGUUAAUGAGGCGAACCGGGGGAACUGAAACAUCUAAGUACCCCGAGGAAAAGAAAUCAACCGAGAUUCCCCCAGUAGCGGCGAGCGAACGGGGAGGAGCCCAGAGCCUGAAUCAGCAUGUGUGUUAGUGGAAGCGUCUGGAAAGGCGCGCGAUACAGGGUGACAGCCCCGUACACAAAAGCGCAUGUGCUGUGAGCUCGAUGAGUAGGGCGGGACACGUGGUAUCCUGUCUGAAUAUGGGGGGACCAUCCUCCAAGGCUAAAUACUCCUGACUGACCGAUAGUGAACCAGUACCGUGAGGGAAAGGCGAAAAGAACCCCGGCGAGGGGAGUGAAAAAGAACCUGAAACCGUGUACGUACAAGCAGUGGGAGCACCCUUUGGGUGUGACUGCGUACCUUUUGUAUAAUGGGUCAGCGACUUAUAUUCUGUAGCAAGGUUAACCGAAUAGGGGAGCCGGAGGGAAACCGAGUCUUAACCGGGCGUUAAGUUGCAGGGUAUAGACCCGAAACCCGGUGAUCUAGCCAUGGGCAGGUUGAAGGUUGGGUAACACUAACUGGAGGACCGAACCGACUAAUGUUGAAAAAUUAGCGGAUGACCUGUGGCUGGGGGUGAAAGGCCAAUCAAACCGGGAGAUAGCUGGUUCUCCCCGAAAGCUAUUUAGGUAGCGCCUCGUGAAUUCAUCUCCGGGGGUAGAGCACUGUUUCGGCUAGGGGGCCAUCCCGGCUUACCAACCCGAUGCAAACUGCGAAUACCGGAGAAUGUUAUCACGGGAGACACACGGCGGGUGCUAACGUCCGUCGUGAAGAGGGAAACAACCCAGACCGCCAGCUAAGGUCCCAAAGUCAUGGUUAAGUGGGAAACGAUGUGGGAAGGCCCAGACAGCCAGGAUGUUGGCUUAGAAGCAGCCAUCAUUUAAAGAAAGCGUAAUAGCUCACUGGUCGAGUCGGCCUGCGCGGAAGAUGUAACGGGGCUAAACCAUGCACCGAAGCUGCGGCAGCGACACUGUGUGUUGUUGGGUAGGGGAGCGUUCUGUAAGCCUGCGAAGGUGGCCUGUGAGGGUUGCUGGAGGUAUCAGAAGUGCGAAUGCUGACAUAAGUAACGAUAAAGCGGGUGAAAAGCCCGCUCGCCGGAAGACCAAGGGUUCCUGUCCAACGUUAAUCGGGGCAGGGUGAGUCGACCCCUAAGGCGAGGCCGAAAGGCGUAGUCGAUGGGAAACGGGUUAAUAUUCCCGUACUUGGUGUUACUGCGAAGGGGGGACGGAGAAGGCUAUGUUGGCCGGGCGACGGUUGUCCCGGUUUAAGCGUGUAGGUGUGUGUUCCAGGUAAAUCCGGUUCACUUUAACACUGAGGCGUGACGACGAGGCACUACGGUGCUGAAGCAACAAAUGCCCUGCUUCCAGGAAAAGCCUCUAAGCAUCAGGUAACAUCAAAUCGUACCCCAAACCGACACAGGUGGUCAGGUAGAGAAUACCAAGGCGCUUGAGAGAACUCGGGUGAAGGAACUAGGCAAAAUGGUGCCGUAACUUCGGGAGAAGGCACGCUGACACGUAGGUGAAGUGAUUUACUCAUGGAGCUGAAGUCAGUCGAAGAUACCAGCUGGCUGCAACUGUUUAUUAAAAACACAGCACUGUGCAAACACGAAAGUGGACGUAUACGGUGUGACGCCUGCCCGGUGCCGGAAGGUUAAUUGAUGGGGUCAGCGCAAGCGAAGCUCCUGAUCGAAGCCCCGGUAAACGGCGGCCGUAACUAUAACGGUCCUAAGGUAGCGAAAUUCCUUGUCGGGUAAGUUCCGACCUGCACGAAUGGCGUAAUGAUGGCCAGGCUGUCUCCACCCGAGACUCAGUGAAAUUGAACUCGCUGUGAAGAUGCAGUGUACCCGCGGCAAGACGGAAAGACCCCGUGAACCUUUACUAUAGCUUGACACUGAACAUUGAGCCUUGAUGUGUAGGAUAGGUGGGAGGCUUUGAAGUGUGGACGCCAGUCUGCAUGGAGCCGACCUUGAAAUACCACCCUUUAAUGUUUGAUGUUCUAACGUGGACCCGUUACCCGGGUUGCGGACAGUGUCUGGUGGGUAGUUUGACUGGGGCGGUCUCCUCCUAAAGAGUAACGGAGGAGCACGAAGGUUGGCUAAUCCUGGUCGGACAUCAGGAGGUUAGUGCAAUGGCAUAAGCCAGCUUGACUGCGAGCGUGACGGCGCGAGCAGGUGCGAAAGCAGGUCAUAGUGAUCCGGUGGUUCUGAAUGGAAGGGCCAUCGCUCAACGGAUAAAAGGUACUCCGGGGAUAACAGGCUGAUACCGCCCAAGAGUUCAUAUCGACGGCGGUGUUUGGCACCUCGAUGUCGGCUCAUCACAUCCUGGGGCUGAAGUAGGUCCCAAGGGUAUGGCUGUUCGCCAUUUAAAGUGGUACGCGAGCUGGGUUUAGAACGUCGUGAGACAGUUCGGUCCCUAUCUGCCGUGGGCGCUGGAGAACUGAGGGGGGCUGCUCCUAGUACGAGAGGACCGGAGUGGACGCAUCACUGGUGUUCGGGUUGUCAUGCCAAUGGCACUGCCCGGUAGCUAAAUGCGGAAGAGAUAAGUGCUGAAAGCAUCUAAGCACGAAACUUGCCCCGAGAUGAGUUCUCCCUGAGACUUAAAGUCUCCUGAAGGAACGUUGAAGACGACGACGU
rnacentral:rRNA from 1 species